GACGAACGCUGGCGGCGUGCCUAAUACAUGCCAGUAGAACGCUGAAGGAGGAGCUUGCUUCUCUGGAUGAGUUGCGAACGGGUGAGUAACGCGUAGGUAACCUGCCUGGUAGCGGGGGAUAACUAUUGGAAACGAUAGCUAAUACCGCAUAACAGUAGAUAUCGCAUGAUAUCUACUUGAAAGGUGCAAUUGCAUCACUACCAGAUGGACCUGCGUUGUAUUAGCUAGUUGGUGAGGUAACGGCUCACCAAGGCGACGAUACAUAGGCGACCUGAGAGGGUGAUCGGCCACAAUGGGACUGAGACACCGCCCAGACCUCUACGGGAGGCAGCAGUAGGGAAUCUUCGGCAAUGGACGGAAGUCUGACCGAGCAACGCCGCGGGAGUGGAGAAGGUUUUCGGAUCGUAAAGCUCUGUUGUAAGAGAAGAACGAGUGUGAGAGUGGAAAGUUCACACUGUGACGGUAUCUUACCAGAAAGGGACGGCUAACUACGUG
rnacentral:rRNA from 1 species